rnacentral:rRNA from 1 species
UAAAGUGGCGAACGGCUGAGUAACACGUGGGCAACCUGCCCUUUGCACUGGGAUAGCCUCGGGAAACCGAGGUUAAUACCGGAUACUCCAUAUUUGUCGCAUGGCGAAUAUGGGAAAGCUCCGGCGGCAAAGGAUGGGCCCGCGGCCUGUUAGCUAGUUGGUGGGGUAGUGGCCUACCAAGGCAAUGAUGGGUAGCCGGGUUGAGAGACCGACCGGCCAGAUUGGGACUGAGACACGGCCCAGACUCCUACGGGAGGCAGCAGCC